rnacentral:tmRNA from 1 species
GGGGAUGACCGGUUUUGACAGCGUGUAGAGGUGGUGUGUAAGCGUGCAGAGCAAUGAUGGCUACGCUCUUUAAACAGAGACAUCAGCAAUUUCAAAUGGCGAAAACAACUACGCUCUCGCUGCCUAAUUGAAGUACAGUAGAUUAGCUUUAUCUCCGCAACAGUUGCAGAGACGAGACAUCGCCCGGUUGCCCAUUUUCCGAGGCUAACCGAUCCGGCGGUGCAGAAAUAUCGGGAAUAGGAAGCCAAGAGCUCCGCGCGGCUUCCGAAUUUUCAGGAGAUAAGAUUCAGGUUGGCGGUUCCAUGCCUGCCUGAGUACGAAAACCAACUUGGAAAUACGCACGUAGAAAGCACAUUAGUUCCACGUUUGGACGAGGGUUCGAAUCCCUCCAUCUCCACGA